AGGACGAACGCUGGCGGCGUGCCUAAUACAUGCAAGUCGAACGGUCUUUUCUAUGGAAGCUUGCUUCCACUGAGAAGAUAGUGGCGAACGGGUGAGUAACACGUGGGUAACCUGCCCAUAAGAGGGGGGAUAACAUCCGGAAACGGGUGCUAAUACCGCAUAGUUUUCUUGAUCGCAUGAUCGGGGAAGGAAAGACGGCCUUUGUGCUGUCGCUUAUGGAUGGACCCGCGGCGUAUUAGUUAGUUGGUGAGGUAACGGCUCACCAAGACGAUGAUACGUAGCCGACCUGAGAGGGUGAUCGGCCACAUUGGGACUGAGACACGGCCCAAACUCCUACGGGAGGCAGCAGUAGGGAAUCUUCCGCAAUGGACGAAAGUCUGACGGAGCAACGCCGCGUGAGUGAAGAAAAGGGUUUUCGGAUCGUAAAACUCUGUUGUCAGAGAAGAACAAGUUGGAGAGUAACUGCUCCAGCCUUGACGGUAUCUGACCAGAAAGCCACGGCUAACUACGUGCCAGCCGCCGC
rnacentral:rRNA from 1 species